UUUAAUGAGAGUUUGAUCCUGGCUCAGGACGAACGCUGGCGGCGUGCCUAAUACAUGCAAGUAGAACGCUGAGGUUUGGUGUUUACACUAGACUGAUGAGUUGCGAACGGGUGAGUAACGCGUAGGUAACCUGCCUCAUAGCGGGGGAUAACUAUUGGAAACGAUAGCUAAUACCGCAUAAGAGUAAUUAACACAUGUUAGUUAUUUAAAAGGAGCAAUUGCUUCACUGUGAGAUGGACCUGCGUUGUAUUAGCUAGUUGGUGAGGUAAAGGCUCACCAAGGCGACGAUACAUAGCCGACCUGAGAGGGUGAUCGGCCACACUGGGACUGAGACACGGCCCAGACUCCUACGGGAGGCAGCAGUAGGGAAUCUUCG
rnacentral:rRNA from 1 species